ACCAAACUCUUCCGUUAGAGGCCAGAUUAACUAAAGCCAAAAACAGCCAAGAGGAGGUGCAGAAGUCUAGUUUUCUCUCAGACCACUUGAACAAUAUGCCGAGGGUUAUUAUUAUUAUUACUAUUAUUGUUUCCAGACAGCUGUAAGGGUUUAGCAUAAGGUUCCUGAGAAAUAGCAUUCAACCCAGCGAUUUACGAUGCUCAACUAGAAGAGGAGGCUGGAUGACUAAACAGCACGUCCACAUUGGCAACAAAUCCCCAGGUGAAGACAUGACAGCAGCCGGGAGCUAAGACAGACCAGCCAGACUGGAACGGACCCAGCGAACAGUCCUCACUGAGGCGGACUGCCAGAGAUCUGAGCCAAGCCCUCCUCCUCCUCCGACCAACAGAUGGAUGAUAAGGCUGGCCCAGGGUCAGAGGGUGCCAGCUUGGAGCGGACACACAAGGAGGAAGAAAGUGAAACGGGUCUAAAGGAAAACUAAGCCAUAUGGUACCUCAGGUGUACUGCUGAGUCAUUACAGAGCACUUUUUGUAGAUAGCCUGGCCUUAGGGUAGAUGUCCCAUUAACUCCCACUGCAGAGAGGGAAAAGGAAGCAAUUUCCACAUGAACUUUCUGAAUUAAUCAUUUCUACAAAUUCUGGUUUAUUUCUUAGCUUUCUGACUAAACUAAAAACACCCAGCAUUGAGUUCAAAUCAGUCAUACAGUAUGAAUGGAGUUACCCUGUGUGACGUCGCCCCCUAGUGGACGUCCUAAUCCCUACCAACCAAGCCCAGGGACCCAACGCUUGCAAAAGAGGGAGAAGUGAUUACAGCCAUAAUUAGGAAAUUAUUAUAUAUUGGGCAGCAGUUCUCAGUUCUGGUCUUCUGGAUACAGACCAGAGGCCUAAUGGUUUUCAUUUUAACAGUCUAAUCAGCGGUUAAUUUAUACCUGAUAUGCCCAAUAAAUGCAACUACCUGCAAGACCAGAAGCACUUUUGGUACAAUAGACCCACUGUUUAAAAUGCAAAUGCUUAUACCGAUGUCAGGGUAUAUUGUUUUUUUUUAGUGAAAGAGAAAAUGUACUUCCUAAAAUCUAUAAACAAAUUUCAGUGCGUCCCUUUAAUUAAUUAACU